UGAGUAACCUGCCCUUCACUCUGGGAUAACUCCGGGGAAACCGGGGCUAAUACUGGAUAUGACUCGAACAGGCAUCUGUUUCGGGUGGAAAGAUUUAUUGGUGGAGGAUGGACUCGCGGCCUAUCAGCUUGUUGGUGAGGUAAUGGCUCACCAAGGCGACGACGGGUAGCCGGCCUGAGAGGGCGAUCGGCCACACUGGGACUGAGACACGGCCCAGACCCUCCGUACGGGGAGCA
rnacentral:rRNA from 1 species